GAUGAACGCUGGCGGCGUGCCUAAUACAUGCAAGUCGAGCGAAUGGAUUAAGAGCUUGCUCUUAUGAAGUUAGCGGCGGACGGGUGAGUAACACGUGGGUAACCUGCCCAUAAGACUGGGAUAACUCCGGGAAACCGGGGCUAAUACCGGAUAACAUUUUGAACCGCAUGGUUCGAAAUUGAAAGGCGGCUUCGGCUGUCACUGAUGGAUGGACCCGCGUCGCUUUAGCUAGUUGGUGAGGUAACGGCUCACCAAGGCAACGAUGCGUAGCCGACCUGAGAGGGUGAUCGGCCACACUGGGACUGAGACACGGCCCAGACUCCUACGGGAGGCAGCAGUAGGGAAUCUUCCGCAAUGGACGAAAGUCUGACGGAGCAACGCCGCGUGAGUGAUGAAGGCUUUCGGGUCGUAAAACUCCGUUGUUAGGGAAGAACAAGUGCUAGUUGAAUAAGCUGGCACCUUGACGGUACCUAACCAGAAAGCCACGGCUAACUACGUGCCAGCCGCCGCAGUAA
rnacentral:rRNA from 1 species